rnacentral:rRNA from 1 species
AAGGAUUUCUUCGGAAUGAAUUUGAUUAAGUUUAGUGGCGGACGGGUGAGUAACGCGUGAGUAACCUGCCUCUAAGAGGGGAAUAACAUUCUGAAAAGAAUGCUAAUACCGCAUAACAUAUAUUUAUCGCAUGGUAGAUAUAUCAAAGAUUUAUCGCUUAGAGAUGGACUCGCGUCCGAUUAGUUAGUUGGUGAGGUAACGGCUCACCAAGACCGCGAUCGGUAGCCGGACUGAGAGGUUGAACGGCCACAUUGGGACUGAGACACGGCCCAGACUCCUACGGGAGGCAGCAGUGGGGGAUAUUGCGCAAUGGGGGAAACCCUGACGCAGCAACGCCGCGUGAAGGAUGAAGGUCUUCGGAUUGUAAACUUCUUUUAUUAAGGACGAAGAAAGUGACGGUACUUAAUGAAUAAGCUCCGGCUAACUACGUGCCAGCAGCCGCGGUAAUACGUAGGGAGCAAGCGUUGUCCGGAUUUACUGGGUGUAAAGGGUGCGUAGGCGGCUUUGCAAGUCAGAUGUGAAAUCUAUGGGCUCAACCCAUAGCCUGCAUUUGAAACUGCAGAGCUUGAGUGAAGUAGAGGCAGGCGGAAUUCCCCGUGUAGCGGUGAAAUGCGUAGAGAUGGGGAGGAACACCAGUGGCGAAGGCGGCCUGCUGGGCUUU